rnacentral:rRNA from 1 species
UUAAGCGACUAAGCGUACACGGUGGAUGCCCUGGCAGUCAGAGGCGAUGAAGGACGUGCUAAUCUGCGAUAAGCGUCGGUGAGGUGAUAUGAACCGUUAUAACCGGCGAUUUCCGAAUGGGGAAACCCAGUGUGAUUCGUCACACUAUCAUUAACUGAAUCCAUAGGUUAAUGAGGCGAACCGGGGGAACUGAAACAUCUAAGUACCCCGAGGAAAAGAAAUCAACCGAGAUUCCCCCAGUAGCGGCGAGCGAACGGGGAGGAGCCCAGAGCCUGAAUCAGUGUGUGUGUUAGUGGAAGCGUCUGGAAAGGCGCGCGAUACAGGGUGACAGCCCCGUACACAAAAAUGCACAUAUUGUGAGCUCGAUGAGUAGGGCGGGACACGUGGUAUCCUGUCUGAAUAUGGGGGGACCAUCCUCCAAGGCUAAAUACUCCUGACUGACCGAUAGUGAACCAGUACCGUGAGGGAAAGGCGAAAAGAACCCCGGCGAGGGGAGUGAAAAAGAACCUGAAACCGUGUACGUACAAGCAGUGGGAGCCUCUUAAUGGGGUGACUGCGUACCUUUUGUAUAAUGGGUCAGCGACUUAUAUUCUGUAGCAAGGUUAACCGAAUAGGGGAGCCGAAGGGAAACCGAGUCUUAACUGGGCGUUAAGUUGCAGGGUAUAGACCCGAAACCCGGUGAUCUAGCCAUGGGCAGGUUGAAGGUUGGGUAACACUAACUGGAGGACCGAACCGACUAAUGUUGAAAAAUUAGCGGAUGACUUGUGGCUGGGGGUGAAAGGCCAAUCAAACCGGGAGAUAGCUGGUUCUCCCCGAAAGCUAUUUAGGUAGCGCCUCGUGAAUUCAUCUCCGGGGGUAGAGCACUGUUUCGGCAAGGGGGUCAUCCCGACUUACCAACCCGAUGCAAACUGCGAAUACCGGAGAAUGUUAUCACGGGAGACACACGGCGGGUGCUAACGUCCGUCGUGAAGAGGGAAACAACCCAGACCGCCAGCUAAGGUCCCAAAGUCAUGGUUAAGUGGGAAACGAUGUGGGAAGGCCCAGACAGCCAGGAUGUUGGCUUAGAAGCAGCCAUCAUUUAAAGAAAGCGUAAUAGCUCACUGGUCGAGUCGGCCUGCGCGGAAGAUGUAACGGGGCUAAACCAUGCACCGAAGCUGCGGCAGCGACACUAUGUGUUGUUGGGUAGGGGAGCGUUCUGUAAGCCUGUGAAGGUGUCCUGUGAGGUUUGCUGGAGGUAUCAGAAGUGCGAAUGCUGACAUAAGUAACGAUAAAGCGGGUGAAAAGCCCGCUCGCCGGAAGACCAAGGGUUCCUGUCCAACGUUAAUCGGGGCAGGGUGAGUCGACCCCUAAGGCGAGGCCGAAAGGCGUAGUCGAUGGGAAACAGGUUAAUAUUCCUGUACUUGGUGUUACUGCGAAGGGGGGACGGAGAAGGCUAUGUUGGCCGGGCGACGGUUGUCCCGGUUUAAGCGUGUAGGCUGGUUUUCCAGGCAAAUCCGGAAAAUCAAGGCUGAGGCGUGAUGACGAGGCACUACGGUGCUGAAGCGACAAAUGCCCUGCUUCCAGGAAAAGCCUCUAAGCAUCAGGUAACAUCAAAUCGUACCCCAAACCGACACAGGUGGUCAGGUAGAGAAUACCAAGGCGCUUGAGAGAACUCGGGUGAAGGAACUAGGCAAAAUGGUGCCGUAACUUCGGGAGAAGGCACGCUGAUAUGUAGGUGAAGCGACUUGCUCGUGGAGCUGAAAUCAGUCGAAGAUACCAGCUGGCUGCAACUGUUUAUUAAAAACACAGCACUGUGCAAACACGAAAGUGGACGUAUACGGUGUGACGCCUGCCCGGUGCCGGAAGGUUAAUUGAUGGGGUUAGCGGUAACGCGAAGCUCUUGAUCGAAGCCCCGGUAAACGGCGGCCGUAACUAUAACGGUCCUAAGGUAGCGAAAUUCCUUGUCGGGUAAGUUCCGACCUGCACGAAUGGCGUAAUGAUGGCCAGGCUGUCUCCACCCGAGACUCAGUGAAAUUGAACUCGCUGUGAAGAUGCAGUGUACCCGCGGCAAGACGGAAAGACCCCGUGAACCUUUACUAUAGCUUGACACUGAACAUUGAGCCUUGAUGUGUAGGAUAGGUGGGAGGCUUUGAAGUGUGGACGCCAGUCUGCAUGGAGCCGACCUUGAAAUACCACCCUUUAAUGUUUGAUGUUCUAACGUGGGCCCCUUACCGGGGUUGCGGACAGUGUCUGGUGGGUAGUUUGACUGGGGCGGUCUCCUCCUAAAGAGUAACGGAGGAGCACGAAGGUUGGCUAAUCCUGGUCGGACAUCAGGAGGUUAGUGCAAUGGCAUAAGCCAGCUUGACUGCGAGCGUGACGGCGCGAGCAGGUGCGAAAGCAGGUCAUAGUGAUCCGGUGGUUCUGAAUGGAAGGGCCAUCGCUCAACGGAUAAAAGGUACUCCGGGGAUAACAGGCUGAUACCGCCCAAGAGUUCAUAUCGACGGCGGUGUUUGGCACCUCGAUGUCGGCUCAUCACAUCCUGGGGCUGAAGUAGGUCCCAAGGGUAUGGCUGUUCGCCAUUUAAAGUGGUACGCGAGCUGGGUUUAGAACGUCGUGAGACAGUUCGGUCCCUAUCUGCCGUGGGCGCUGGAGAACUGAGGGGGGCUGCUCCUAGUACGAGAGGACCGGAGUGGACGCAUCACUGGUGUUCGGGUUGUCAUGCCAAUGGCACUGCCCGGUAGCUAAAUGCGGAAGAGAUAAGUGCUGAAAGCAUCUAAGCACGAAACUUGCCCCGAGAUGAGUUCUCCCUGACUCCUUGAGAGUCCUGAAGGAACGUUGAAGACGACGACGUUGAUAGGCCGGGUGUGUAAGCGCAGCGAUGCGUUGAGCUAACCGGUACUAAUGAACCGUGAGGCUUAACCUU